rnacentral:rRNA from 1 species
ACGCUCGACACCUACGGGAGGCAGCAGUCGGGAAUAUUGCGCAAUGGAGGAAACUCUGACGCAGUGACGCCGCGUAUAGGAAGAAGGUUUUCGGAUUGUAAACUAUUGUCGUUAGGGAAGAGAAAGGACAGUACCUAAGGAGGAAGCUCCGGCUAACUACGUACCAGCAGCCGCGGUAAUCUGAGCGGGCGUGGCAAGGC